rnacentral:rRNA from 1 species
GAUGAACGCUGGCGGCGUGCCUAAUACAUGCAAGUCGAGCGAACAGAUGAGGAGCUUGCUCCUCUGACGUUAGCGGCGGACGGGUGAGUAACACGUGGAUAACCUACCUAUAAGACUGGGAUAACUUCGGGAAACCGGAGCUAAUACCGGAUAAUAUAUUGAACCGCAUGGUUCAAUAGUGAAAGACGGUUUUGCUGUCACUUAUAGAUGGAUCCGCGCCGCAUUAGCUAGUUGGUAAGGUAACGGCUUACCAAGGCAACGAUGCGUAGCCGACCUGAGAGGGUGAUCGGCCACACUGAAACUGAGACACGGUCCAGACUCCUACGGGAGGCAGCAGUAGGGAAUCUUCCGCAAUGGGCGAAAGCCUGACGGAGCAACGCCGCGGGAGUGAUGAAGGUCUUCGGAUCGUAAAACUCUGUUAUUAGGGAAGAACAAAUGUGUAAGUAACUAUGCACGUCUUGACGGUACCUAAUCAGAAAGCCACGGCUAACUACGU